rnacentral:tRNA from 1 species
GCCUGGGUGGCUCAGUCGGUUGAGCAUCCGACUUCGGCUCAGGUCAUGAUCUCACGGUCUGUGGGUUCGAGCCCUGCAUCGGGCU